rnacentral:rRNA from 1 species
UUCGUAGGCGGUGCGGCAAGUCGGGAGUGAAAUCUCUGGGCUUAACUCAGAGGCUGCUUCCGAAACUGCCGCGCUAGAGUGCGGGAGAGGCCAGUGGAAUUGCAGGUGUAGCGGUGAAAUGCGUAGAUAUCUGCAGGAACACCCGUGGCGAAGGCGGCUGGCUGGACCGUAACUGACGCUGAGGAACGAAAGCUAGGGGAGCAAACAGGAUUAGAUACCCCGGUAGUCCUAGCCCUAAACCAUCAGGACUUGGGGUGCAUCCCGUUGGGGGUGCGUCCCGUAGCUAACGCGUUAAGUCCUGCGCCUGGGGAGUACGGUCGCAAGGCUGAA